GACCAAACAAAACCGAUGACGUAAAUCGCAAACUUGAUGCCGGAAGAGAACUAUCGAAAUGGCGAACGCACUGAAAUUGUGCUGUGAUGUUGUUCGAUGGUUUCCAGUCGUGUUUAUAACGGCUAUUGUGUUAUGGUCGUAUUAUGCAUACGUUGUACAACUUUGUGCAUUUACUGUUCCCAGCAUAGCAGAAAAAGUUGUUUACCUGAUUCUCUACCAUCCCCUACUGGUCCUGUUUAUGUGGUCGUAUGGACGGACUAUAAUGGCUGCUCCAGGAAAAGUGCCACGUCAGUUUUACUUAAAUAAACAAGAUUCGGAUCGUCUGACGAGAGAAACAAAUGAAGAGGUACAGAAAGCAAUAUUAAUGACUGCUGCAAAGGAUUUACCAAUAGUGAACAGAACAUCAUCAGGAUUGCCACGAUACUGUGAAAAGUGUAAAUGUAUUAAACCAGACAGAUGUCACCACUGUUCUGUGUGUGGGUUAUGUGUAUUAAAAAUGGACCACCACUGUCCAUGGGUGAACAAUUGUGUUGGUUUCACAAAUUACAAGUUUUUUGUACAGUUUUUGGGUUAUGCCCUUAUAUACUGUUUAUAUGUAGCUGCAACCUCUGUGAAAUAUUUCAUAUCGUUUUGGUCGGGUCAUGGUAAUAGAGAUAUGGGGAAAUUCCAUGUGCUGUUCCUUUUCUUUGUGUCCAUCAUGUUUGGAAUCAGUCUGAUCUCCCUAUUUGGAUACCACUGUUACCUCACAGCCAGUAACAGAUCUACUUUGGAGGCGUUUAGAUCACCUAUUUUUCAGAGUGGUCCAGAUAAAAAUGGCUUCAGUAUGGGAAAAUAUGGUAACUUUGUUGAAGUCUUUGGGGAAUCGAAGAAGGAAUGGUUUUUACCUAUAUUUUCAACUCAAAGAGACGGGGUGUCCUUUCCUACUCGCACGAAGCAAGCUAAUACCUACCAAACAAUGGGUAAAACUCCAAGUGUAGGGGACGGUGUGAAUUACCCUACCCGGACAGUUGACCUUGACAGUGAUGGUCUGCUGGCAGAGAGACAGAGGUGGAUGGAGGAGGGAGGAGAGUUAGGCACAGCGUUGGAGGAUGAUACUGCACAACAUAGGUAUUAACUGUGGGUGUAGCCCUAUUUAUCUAAACGGCAAAGGCAUGCAUGGGUAUGGUAUCUAAGUAAAUAGCUAUGGAGCCCAUGACAACAAUGGCAUGAAUCUUGAGUUAAGAUGAUGGAGGUCGCUGGUGAAGGGUGAAAAGGAAUGAGGUUGUGCCCUCUGGUGUGAAAGGACUUAUCAGCAGUUGUGUUACCUACAGAGAGAUAGAGGCACCUCCAGGUGGUAAAACACUGACUCAUAGAGAUGAUGCUCACUAGUGAGUGAAAUCUAACUGAUUAGGACACUCCCUAGUGUGUAAAAAGCUGGCUAAUAGUGAUGAUCCCUAGUGAGAAAAUGUGUGAAAUCUGACUGAAAGUUUCCCCUGACAGGAGAGCUCUGGUUGCUGGGGAGCCAUAAGAACAGUUACAGGAAGCUGAAGAUUUCAACUAUUAAUUAGGAGCUGGUUAGGCCCACUAUUAAUCCAGACCUGGUUUGGAGCAUUGUCGCUGAUUCUUUCAAUUCUUACUGAGAUGUAAUUCUUUGGCAACCAAGAAUUUCUACUGUUUGUUUGUCAAGACCAAAAUCUUUCCAUUGACAACCAAAAACGUCAAGAUCUAAAUGUAUUCGUGCAUGACUAGUUUGCUAAGAAUAAUGUUUGCCCUUAGAUAGGUAUGGAUCUCAACUGUUUGCCAAGAUCUAUGUCUCUUCAUAGGUAGCAAAGGAUCUCAAAAUCUACUACAGUAAACCAUGGUUAUAACGAAUCCCAAAGGACCUGCAUAUAUAGCUACUUAAUCAUUUCUUGAUAAUGAUAGCUUGUAUUACGUGUAAAUCAAAUUUUCAAGAAAAACAUUGCUCUUUAUGAAAAUAUGUAUACAAAUAAAUAAACACACAUCCUUUUUUCAAAAUAGUAUGCAAAGUGUUGGGAAGAGUGUUUCAUAACACACUCACUUUAUUCAGUAGUCUAUUUAUAUACACAUCGAAGAACAUGAAAGCAAGUGUUCAAAAGUCGUACAAAACACAAAAGAGCAAGUAACUAUACUAAAAGGGGGGCUCUUGUUGACCAUGGUUGUGAUCACUGACUUCUCACAUUUCAGAAAAUGGGUUUGUAUUAGAGUGAUAAAGUAACAAUGAAUUUCACUUGAGGGGACUGCUGUUUUGCUUUAUAAUAGAGAAUAAUUUGAUAUGUGAAAUUGGCAAUACAUUUAUAUUAUUACAUAGAAGUAAGAGGGAGAUGAGCUGGAGAAUCAGUUCGCAAAGAUUAUGAAAAAGCAAUAAGUGUGUUCGUACUAAAUAUGUUUAAAGGGUCUGGUCGGGGGAAAAAAUACAAAAUAAAUGGGUCUUAAUGCGUUCUCUGGCCUUCCA
rnacentral:misc_RNA from 1 species